UCCCGUGUCCGUAUGGGACAUACCAAGAUACACCUGGAUCUACUUCCUGUAAGCAAUGUCCUGAUGGUUUUUUGACUCGGUUUCUAGAGUCCACUGACAUAACCGAAUGCUCCGUGCCAUCUAGAGUUCUUACCAAAGAAACAUCAGCUGUUUCUAAAGAAGGCAUCAUUGUUGGCUGUAUCGCAGGGGCGCUGUUUGUCUGUGCUGUUAUCGUAGGAAUUGCAGUUUGGCAGUUUCUUAGGAGGAAACGACCGACCUACAAUAUCACGGUUUCUACAACAACAUCACUUGGCGAUGAACUCUGUAUAAGUGGUCCACAUUGGGCUCCUUCUGAUAUUGAUGACCCCUGUGAAAGUAAUCAUUUCCUUACCACAACUAAAGCUACGGCUGAUCUGUGAUCGAUGACCCUUGUGAAAGUUAUCCUUUCCUUACAACAGCUAAACCUACGGCUGAUCUGUGAUAAAUGACCCUUGUGGAAGUUACCCGUUCCUUACAACUAAACCUACGGCUGAUCUGUGACCGAUGUCUCUGUUGAAGUUUUCGUUUCCUUACAAAUUACUAAAGCUACGGCUGAUCUCUGAUUGAUGACCCCCAUAGAAGUAAACGGUUUUGUAUUAACUAUACCUAAGGCUGAUCUGUGAGAAAUGAUCUUUUCCUCUUUUUUAUUAUUUAUCUUUUGUACCUAUAUAUAACUAUGAUUACUCCAUGAUCGUUUUGGAGAUUCGUGUACCUUUUUGCCAUUAGUGAUAUUUAAAUUGUUAACUUUUCUUCAUCCAUGGAAACAAACUUUAUUGUUUGCAUGUUGUUGUUUUUCCGGAUAGAGAAUCGAAAUCUUUCUAUCUACAAAUGUCAGGCUAUUUCUCUGGAUAGUUUCUCUGUACCAUGUCAACUUUUCAAGGUAAUUACUGUUUCACGGUACUUAAAUCUUAUGUCAAUUUUUCAUUUUGUCGACCAAUACAUCAUACUUUCUCGAUAUCCUUAUUCUGAAUUCAUAUGACAAGGUAAUUUGUGGUGUAUGUACCCAUAACACCAUUGUGCACGCUUCAAAACAAUGUAGCCGCAUAACAGAUGGUCAUACUAAUGUUUUGUUUCUUACAAAACUUAUAGAUCUACACUGUUAAAUUUUAAAAGAAAAUUGACGCGUUCGAGGCCUCUGCUUUUAUUUAGACUGAAAGAAAAAAACAAAUGUGACGUUUUAUUGUGUUUAAUUGCUAGUUUUGCUAAAAUCUUGGUAGAUUAAUCUUUCUGAUAUUAGAAUUAGACAACAGACGGAACAAUUCAUUGGUUAAGUAGUAAAGUGAUGAUAUACUUAUUUUGUAGUAAUGGGACAGCACUCGGCGAACUACAAUCAAAAUGAACAUUCGUAGGCUUUAAUUCUGUUAAUGAUUUCGAGAAUGUGAAACAGAUAUAUUCCCCACCACUAACACGACCAGCAUCACCCCCAACACGACUACGACCACCAACUGAUCAUGAUUGUGAUUAUCUUUUUGUUCUUUGUUGUAAAUAAUUAAUUAUUAUGUUAAUAUCGUCUCAUUCUCGAAUAUAUUUUGAUGCAAACCUUUAUUUUGUAAAUAUUGACAUUUGCAAACCAUGAAUAAACUACAGGCCACCAUAUAGUUAGGACCUGACGACAUCUGGGUUAGAAAUAUUAUACUGUACAUUCUUCCAAGAGAUCAUAAGACUCUUUCAUAUGUGUAUAUGUAGGAUAUGGAUA